rnacentral:SRP_RNA from 2 species
GCCGGGCGUGGUGACACAUGCCUGUAAUCCUAGCUACUCGGGAGGCUGAGGCAGAAGAAUCGCUUGAAUCCAGGAGGCGGAGGUUGCAGUGAGCCAAGAUCGCGCCACUGCAGUCCAGCCUGGGUGACAGAGCGAGACUCUGUCUCAA